rfam:Stegodyphus mimosarum contig89769, whole genome shotgun sequence.
GCCUUCGUGAUGUAGUGGUUAACACGCUCGGCUCGUAUUCGAGAGGUCCAUAGUUCUAGACUCGGCGAGGGCA